UUAGUCCCAGGUGGAAGUUGAAUGAUACCUACAUAGGUAACUCUUUUUUUAGAAGCACAAUUUUCUACUUAAUAAUUUGUUAUUCCUAAGAUCCGUAAUUAUUUGAACAGUUUUUGUAAAAGAGCCACUUGUAUGGGAAUAGGCUGACACUUAGACAAAGAGAUUAAUGCUUCUUGUCCACAGGGGAGGGAUUUUUGCCAUUUCAAAGAGAAGGAAAAGAGUCCAACAAGACCAUCCAUCUUCCAUAACAAUGCCCCUCUGCAGUUAUUAACAGCCACGGGAGAUUGGGCCACAGUCUGAAUUUUCUCUUGAAUUUUGUGUAUGUAAUUCAGGGUGUGAAAAGGGUAAAUCAGGGAUCUAGUUAGGUUAAUUUUAGCCCAUUAAGUCUUUUAAAGCAGCUCAGUGAGAGCUAAGCAACAUGGGUAUCGAUUUUUCCUGACCCAAACUGGGAGGAUAAAUCAGAGGCAGCCCAAGUUCGUCCUGAAGUCAACAGUGGUCUUCCUAUGAGGCUAUCUGUGGUUCAAUAUUUUUAUGACUAAGGUGGAAAUAUAGAUGCCAGAUCAAAUUGAGACAGGGUAGGAAGAGAUGAACAUUUUUCUAAUGGAAAUCCUGGUUGGCUCAAGUUUGUUCAGCUACUGGAUCAGGAAAGUGUCUCAUGCCACAUUCACUGUAGCAUCUGACACUCAGCUGCUGCCCCAGCUGCAGAGAUGGAUGAACACAGGAGGGUAGGAGGUAGAUAUUCUGAUAGAAGAACUGAGAUUUAAUUAAUCUCAUUUGUAAAUACAAUACAAUUGCUUUGAACAUGCAUUAUCUCAUUUAGAUCUAUCUGUAUUGCCAGCAUUAAAUGUUUUUCUAUUAUUUUGGCCUGAUUAUUAUACUUUCUUUCAGUUGUGUAUCGAUAGCUUGGGUCAGGCAUUAUUGUACGUGCUGAGCACACAGGGGCAAAGAAGACAGGAGAGGUUCUUGUCCACUUCAAGAUAGCAAGUGUAUUAACAAUUUAAUGAAUUAAUGCAGGUUGGCAUCAGUUCUACCAGGAAAAUAAUGAGGUCCCUAAGACAGGGAGGAGUUGGGAGGAUUCCUGUGGGAAGGAUGGUCAGGGAAGGCCUCUGAAAUCACGGCCCCAUUAUGAGAGGAGAAAUUAAAAGAGGGUGGGCCCAAGUGAAGACCUAAACUCUUUCCUUCCUGGAUCAGGGAGCAGGAAUGUCCUGAAGUGGAAAGCCUCUGGGUAAGAAUGAGGAAGAGGCAAGAUGGAGAGAAGAUGGAGGUUGGGGGGAACUGGCAUUAACAUGAAGAGGCAUCC
rnacentral:lncRNA from 1 species